rnacentral:sRNA from 1 species
UCGGGAAAUCGAGAAAUCGAGAAAUUGGGAAAUCGGGAAAUCGAGAAAUCGAGAAAUAGAGAAAGCUUUCGUGUUUUCGCGUUUUUACUUUCUUGCUUUCUAGAUUUCCAGAUUUCCAGAUUUCUCGAUUUCCCUAUUUCUCGAUUUCCCGAUUUCCCGAUUUCUCAAUUUCUCGAUUUCGCUUU